UUUUAUGUCUCACAGAUCACAUGCUGUUGCAGGUGGAACCACUCCCUGUCAAUAGUGUCUCCAUGCAAAUCUCCUGCCUGCUCUUAUAAUCCAUGAGCAGCAUCAGAGUCACAUCUCCAGCCUCAGGAUGAAGAACACACUCACUCUGCUGCUGGCUGCUCUCUCUCUGACCUGUUGUUCAGGUCAGAGCAUGGAGUCCAUUCCUUCCACUGCAGUAGUGAAGAAGCCUGGAGAGACCCUCAGUCUGUCCUGCAGAGGAUCUGGGUUCACAUUUAACUGCUGUUAUAUGCACUGGGUCAGACAACCUGCAGGAAAAGGACUGGAAUGGAUGGGGAGAGGUGGCUCUAAUACUAAUGAUAACGUCUAUGCCAACAAUUUGAGAGGACGGAUAGAAAUCAGCAGAGAUGACAGCAACAGCUUGGUGCAUCUGAAACUGUCCAACCUGCAGCCUGAAGACUCUGCUGUUUAUUACUGUGCUAAAGACUCACAGUGACACAAAGCAUCAGUGGAGCUGAACAAAAACCCCUCAGAGCCAAACAUUAGUAACAUGGAUCCACCAGAGGAGGAGCCUCAGACCAGGAAUGAGUUAAAGACAAGUUCAAUAUGAACAUUGUUCAU